rnacentral:SRP_RNA from 1 species
GCCGAGCUAAGUAACUCUAGCUUGUGACCCCACCCGAGUGGGGGCAGUGAAGUGGCAGAAUGAUGGUUUGAUCCUCUGGGCAGGGUCCACGCAUGCGUAUUCUAGGCUCGCCCGUUCAAAGUUUUGAGUUUGAACCUUGAGUCUUGGGCGAAAGCUCGGGCCUCGUGGUUCUCAGAGGCGAGGGCACUGCGUGAGGCUGGUUUAACAGAGCAGCGAAAACCUCCUACUCAUAGCAGUUGAAGGAUCAUCUUUUUUUUUUUUGUCAUCAAGAAUUCAUCUGCAGGAAAGAAAACUCAGCCAACUAUUU